rnacentral:rRNA from 1 species
UACGAAGGGGGCUAGCGUUGUUCGGAUUUACUGGGCGUAAAGCGCACGUAGGCGGACUUUUAAGUCAGGGGUGAAAUCCCGGGGCUCAACCCCGGAACUGCCUUUGAUACUGGAAGUCUUGAGUUCGAGAGAGGUGAGUGGAAUUCCGAGUGUAGAGGUGAAAUUCGUAGAUAUUCGGAGGAACACCAGUGGCGAAGGCGACACGCUGGGCCACACCUGACGCUGAAACGCGACAGCAUGGGGAGCGAACGGG